rnacentral:rRNA from 1 species
UGCCUCGGUCAGCCUAACACAUGCAAGUCGGACGAACUCUUCGGAUUUACUGGCGGACGGGUGAGUAACACGUGGAAACGUGCCGGUUAUGUUCGGAAUAACUCAGGGAAACGAGUGCUAAUUCCGAAUGUGCCCUUCGUGGGAAAGAUUUAUCGCCUUUAGAGCGGCCCGUGUCUGAUUAUCUAGCUUGGUGAGCGUAAAGGCUCACCAAAGACGACGAUCAGAUAGCUGGUUCUGAGAGGAUGAUCACCCACAUUGGCACUGAGCCAUGAUCCAACUCCAUACGGGAGGCAGCAGUGGGGAAUCUUGCGCAAUGGGCGAAAGCCUGACGCAGCCAUGCCGCGUGAAUGAUGAAGGUCUUAGGAUUGUAAAAUUCUUUCACCGGGGACGAUAAUGACGGUACCCGGAGAAGAAGCCCCGGCUAACUUCGUGCCAGCAGCCGCGGUAAUACGAAGGGGGCUAGCGUUGCUCGGAAUUACUGGGCGUAAAGGGAGCGUAGGCGGACAUUUAAGUCAGGGGGUGAAAUCCCGGGGCUCAACCUCGGAAUUGCCUUUGAUACU